GUCUACAGAUAUGCCACCUUGAACAAGCCCGAUGUCUGAUCUCAGAAGCUAAGCAGGGUCAGGCCUGGUAAGUACUUGGAUGGGAGACCACCUAGGAACACCAGGUUCUGUAGGCA
rnacentral:rRNA from 1 species